CAUUGAGUGGCGAACGGGUGAGUAACACGUGGGUAACCUGCCCAAAAGAGGGGGAUAACACUUGGAAACAGGUGCUAAUACCGCAUAACCAUAACAACCGCAUGGUUGUUAUGUAAAAGAUGGUUUUGCUAUCACUUUUGGAUGGACCCGCGGCGUAUUAGCUAGUUGGUAAGGUAAAGGCUUACCAAGGCGAUGAUACGUAGCCGAACUGAGAGGUUGAUCGGCCACAUUGGGACUGAGACACGGCCCAAACUCCUACGGGAGGCAGCAGUAGGGAAUCUUCCACAAUGGACGAAAGUCUGAUGGAGCAACGCCGCGUGAGUGAAGAAGGUCUUCGGAUCGUAAAACUCUGUUGUUAGAGAAGAACGUGCAUGAUAGUAACUGAUCAUGUAAUGACGGUAUCUAACCAGAAAGCCACGGCUAACUACGUGCCAGCAGCCGCGGUAAUACGUAGGUGGCAAGCGUUGUCCGGAUUUAUUGGGCGUAAAGGGAACGCAGGCGGUUUUUUAAGUCUGAUGUGAAAGCCUUCGGCUUAACCGAAGAAUAGCAUUGGAAACUGGAAGACUUGAGUGCAGAAGAGGAGAGUGGAAUUCCAUGUGUAGCGGUGAAAUGCGUAGAUAUAUGGAGGAACACCAGUGGCGAAAGCGGCUCUCUGGUCUGUAACUGACGCUGAGGUUCGAAAGCGUGGGUAGCAAACAGGAUUAGAUACCCUGGUAGUCCACGCCGUAAACGAUGAAUGCUAAGUGUUGGAGGGUUUCCGCCCUUCAGUGCUGCAGCUAACGCAAUAAGCAUUCCGCCUGGGGAGUACGACCGCAAGGUUGAAACUCAAAGGAAUUGACGGGGGCCCGCACAAGCGGUGGAGCAUGUGGUUUAAUUCGAAGCAACGCGAAGAACCUUACCAGGUCUUGACAUCUUUUGACCAUCUGAGAGAUCAGA
rnacentral:rRNA from 1 species